rnacentral:rRNA from 1 species
CACCUACGGGAGGCAGCAGUGGGGAAUUUUGGACAAUGGGCGCAAGCCUGAUCCAGCCAUGCCGCGUGAGUGAAGAAGGCCUUCGGGUUGUAAAGCUCUUUCAGACGGAAAGAAAUCGGUGCGUUUAAUACAUGCACUGGAUGACGGUACCGUAAGAAGAAGCACCGGCUAACUACGUGCCAGCAGCCGCGGUAAUACGUAGGGUGCGAGCGUUAAUCGGAAUUACUGGGCGUAAAGCGUGCGCAGGCGGUUAUGUAAGACAGAUGUGAAAUCCCCGGGCUCAACCUGGGAACUGCGUUUGUGACUGCAUAACUAGAGUACGGCAGAGGGAGGUGGAAUUCCACGUGUAGCAGUGAAAUGCGUAGAGAUGUGGAGGAACACCGAUGGCGAAGGCAGCCUCCUGGGCCAGUACUGACGCUCAUGCACGAAAGCGUGGGGAGCAAACAGGAUUAGAUACCCUGGUAGUCCACGCCCUAAACGAUGUCAACUAGUUGUUCGGUGAGGAGACUCAUUGAGUAACGCAGCUAACGCGUGAAGUGACC